AUCCAUGUGUUGAGUGGCCAGAAUCUCGUUCCACAACAAACAAGCAGCAUCACAAUGAAGAAAUAAAGGGUUGAUUGUCUUCCCAUCCCUCCUACUCAUAUAGACCACUCUCUAACACAAAGAGCCCUUAUUUGAAGAUUGUCCACCAUUAACAAUUGUAUCCUGACAACCGUUCAUAAUAAGAAUGCUGCCCGUGGAGAUGGUGUACAUUGUCAUACCAUCUUCCAAUGGAAUGAACUCUCCACAGGCCCUAAUAAGGAUCUAAAAUAAGUGUCAACAGAAAACAUAUCACUCCGUAUCAACCCCCAUCUGCUACGAUCACCCUCUCCCACCCUAAUAUGCACAUCAAAUAAAGAUGUCAAGAGCAACGCAUAAUAGUCCAAUUCUCAAUCCUACAAACCUCUCCCAAAAACAAUGUUCCAGCUAAGACUCCCAUUGUGUAUAUCUAAGACCUCAUUCACCAUAGCAGACGACUCCAACACAAUAUGAUACAAGGAAAUCCUACCAUUAGCAGUUGAUUUCCACCAACAAUCAUCCCAAAAAUUGAUAAUAGUACCAUCCCCCGCCACAAAGUCACUCUAUCCCGAAAGUCACUCCACCCUCAUCGUAUAUACUACCACAAGCUCACCUCAUAAGAACCACAACCCUCGAUUGAGCACCAUCCCCCCCCUCCCCCUCCCUCUCCCUCAACACCAUAUUUCUCCUCUAUAAUUUCUCCCCAAAAACUCUCUCUACACUCCGAAUCGCCACAACCACUUAUCCAACAAGACCUUAUUAAAGAAUACAAUGCUCCUCAAUCCAAGACCCCCCGACCAUUUAGGAGAACAAACUGCUCCCCAAUUGCAAAUGACAUUUCCUCUCCUCCCCCUAAUCCUCCUCAAAGAAACUUACUUUUAAUCCUCUCUAAUAUUUUUUGUCACCGCAAUAUCCAUAAUAUCCAAUUGCACCACUUCCCAGCAAGCCUUAUAGAAUGAGAAAGAGAAUUCGUCUGAUCGUGACGCCUUAUCAUCAUUCAUGCUGAAAAUCACCUCCCUAAUCUCAUCUUCCCCAAAAGGUCUCUCUAACCACAAGCAUUCUCCGUAAUGAUAGUGGAAAAAUCUAGUUCCCCCAACGCCGACCUCCGGUCAAAUUACUCCCGAUAAAGAUUUUUAUAGAAAUUCACCAUAUGGGUCCCAACAUCUUAUGUAUCCUCAUAAAUAACCCCAUCUACCUCUAACAUAGUGAUGGAAUUAUUAAGAUAAACUAAAUACUAGUCUUAUGCACCUUCAACUUAAGGACAUACCUGGAAGAACAUUUAUAACGAAAAUAAAACAAGGCUCUUGGCGAUUCUAAUUACCAAUAUCAAUUUCUUCGAUAAACAAAAUAGAUGAAACAUUUCUUCUAAAAAGAAUAAUGAAUACGUUCCAUUGACUUAACAAAUAAGAAUGGAAAGGGUAAAAUGUUAACCUCUCCAGCCUUUACACUGAUAACAUGCGGAGUAAAUCCAACACCAGUAGAUCCUGCCAAAAAAAAUAAUGACAAUAACAUCUAAUAAAAUUGUCAAUUUCACAUGAUUUUGAUAAAAUCAUAAAUAGGGAAUAAAACAAAAGAAACUUAAAAGAAUACUAAUAAUUAAGCCCAUGUUUGGGAUCAUUAAAGAAGUAUUUUUAAGAAAAUAUAUUUAGGAAUAGUGACUUUUUAAGAAAAAUUGUGGUUAGAAAAUAUGGAAAAGUUUUAGCCCCUGUUUGUCUCUUAUUCUUUCAAAAUUAUUUUUUCUAUAUACUCAUUUUCAACCAN
rnacentral:lncRNA from 1 species